CAACUCACUUCCUGCAUAGAGUUCCAGUUCCUGGACUUCCGUUGGGCUGAGCGCUGCUGAGCCGCGGAAACGGCUCCCUGGCGAGGUUCUAUGAAGCGCCCACCAUGGAAAGGCCAGUUCUCACCAGAGAAGAGACUGGUGGUAAGAAUGAUGUUCCACACCCAACGCUCGCCUCCGAUCUGCCGGUAGAAGUGGCUGGACACGUAGCCAGAGAUGCAGCAGGUCAGGGCAUACAACAGGAUGGCUGCCGAGUUAAUGGCCCCAUGACGGUGCACAUUGAACAUGCCCAGCAGCGCCAUGACAAUAAUGCCUGCAGGGUGGUAGUGGAAAAUUUGUGUUAGGUCUCACCUGUUCCUCUGGCAACUUCAGAGGAAUCAGCCUCCUUCUCUCAGACCCAAGGCUUCUAGCAAAACACUAUCCCCCAAUUCUGUUGUCCAGAAAACUCACAGUUAGAAUAUAUGCAUCCUUGCUAGAGCCACCCCACCCUUAGGUCUGCCCCUCACCUUGGACAGAUCUGCAGAUCUUUUCUGAACAAAUCACCUACUUACAUUUAACCCUUGAGAAAAAUCCCUGGUUAAUUUUUAUCACCUCACCAGUGCCAAGGGCCAGGAACUGGGCACCCACACCAAGCACAGCACAGAGCAGACCACGGUAUGGAGGGAAACGGAAGACAUCAGUAUGGAUGAUUUUCCAGCCGUUGUCACCUUGGUCAAAGUCAUCACCAGAACCUGCAGAGGUUGUCUCCUCAUCCAAGUUGUACCGAGCCAGGUCAUUCCGAAGCACACGCAUGAGAAUGACAGCCACAAAACCCACCAGCAAAAACACAAGCACCAUGGAAUUGAUGAUGGACAACCAAUGAAUUUCCAGUGUUCGGGGAAAGAAACCACCAUCAUCACCACGGCGCCUGUCACUACGACGCUCCACUGAAGUCUCAGACCACCGCACACUGUAGGUGUGGGUGAGGCCUAGGAACUCAUCAGGUUGUAACCCGUCUAAACUAUGUGGCUUGACAUCCCGCACCGAGACGUUGGCAAAUAUAAUUCGAUCUCCAUGGAAUUCCAGGUGGAAGUCCAAGUGGGUCCAGAGUCCUAUCUUGUGGCUGUGAGGCAGGAAGCCACUCUCCUCCAUGUAGCCCACAAAGCCACGGAGUGGCAAGUCGUCCACCACGAAUUCAAAAUAAUACAAUUCCUCGAUGGCCUGGCGCAGCUGUUCCACCUACAAAGAGCAAGUCAGGAAUCAGACAAGACCUCCCUGGUCACAGAGUUAGAGCAGGGUUACUCAACUUUGGCACUGCUGACAUUUGGGGCUAGAUAAUUUGUUGUUGGGGGCUGUCCCUUCCCUGGUUUCUUCUUACUAGAGUAGCACCCCUUAGUGGUGACAAUCAAAAAUAUCUCCAGGCAGUGCCAAAUGUCUCUUGGGAGACAAAACUGCCCCCUGUCCAGAACUAUUGGGUUAGACCCCACUAUGUUGGGUUUCUCAAAAAAAAA